rnacentral:rRNA from 1 species
UACGGAGGGUGCAAGCGUUGUCCGGAUUUAUUGGGUUUAAAGGGUGCGUAGGCGGCCUUAUAAGUCAGUGGUGAAAGCCCACAGCUCAACUGUGGAACUGCCAUUGAUACUGUAAGGCUUGAGUACAGACGAGGUAGGCGGAAUUGAUGGUGUAGCGGUGAAAUGCAUAGAUACCAUCAAGAACACCGAUUGCGUAGGCAGCUUACUAGGCUGUAACUGACGCUGAGGCACGAAGGUCAGGGGAGCAAACGGG